UGAUGUAUGGAACAUUUCCCAAUUGACCAAAUCAAGAAAAAGUCAAAAACUCAAAAAGUCAAAGUUUGGUCAAACUUUGAAUUUAAAUGAGAAAGGUCCAAAAAUGCCAUUUUGAUUGGCAAGGUUUUAGGUCAUGAAAUUUAUAUUUUUGGAAAGAGGAUGAAAAAUGUGGUUUGUAGGAAAAAACCCCACCAAAUUUGGCCUUAUGGUUUGAGAGAUAUGGCCCUUUGAAGUUCAAAAAUUGAUGAAAAUGAUUUGAUCAUAUC
rnacentral:lncRNA from 1 species